AUGUUAGCUUUAAAGAUUGUCUUUGAACAACGUAAGCUCCCCUACGCCUUUCCUAAGGAGAAAAGUAGGGUUACAAGCAUUUUAAACAAACAGACAGACAAACAAACAAACAAAUACAGUAUAAGCACCACAACGUUUUUGUCUUCUUUAUUUUUAUUUUUAAAUUUCAUUUUGUUACAGACCAACUCGACAACCCUUUCUAAAACUACGACUCUGGGGAAGUUAAUUUACCUGAUUACUCCAAGUUGGCCACCGGCUCGGUCAGGGUCUCUGGCUUGGAAAGCUCUUUCUCAUCAUCUGCAACCUUUAUUUUUUUUCCCUACAGAGGGUUUGGCUCUGAUUUACGCCCUCCUGGCUGCCAAGCCAAUACUCCUCCACCGCUCUCUCACUUCACUGCCUGAAAAUGUCCACAUGAAUAAAGUUCUGCCCAGUAAGAAAAACUGGGGUGUGUGUGUGUGUGCUACAUUUUGGACGGACAAUCCCCAAAUCUCGCUGGCUGGCCCAUCAACGAUUCAUCCUCCCUCUUAUCCUUUCGCUCCGCUUAUCAUUUGGCGCUUCAUCUCCUGCUAAGGCAAGAAGAAAGCACACAGCCUUGAACAUGGAUACACAAAUGUGGAAGGAUCUGAAGGUUGUCCCAAUUAAAAUCUUUCCCUGGCUUCUAGAUGUCCUGCGCGCGCCACGGAGGCCACAGACACCCUGUUAGCUUUGAACAGACCUGGGGAUGGUAGGCUGAAGGGGGUGCCACUUUUCGCGAAGCCUUUCCCUUUCUUUAAAAUUUCGGAGCCGAGCGAUGUGAAGGAUAUUUUUAGGAGCCACUGGGCCAAAACCGAUUGACUUCCAGUGAAGCAUCACUGAGGGCUGUUGCCAACAGAGAAGAUUUUUUUAAAAAAUCCACAACAGUGCUCUGAAUGACAGCGGAGAUUUCGAAGCGUCAAACUCCCCGUCAUAAAAUACUUUCGAAACCAAGUGCGGCUUAUAAAACAGUAUCAAACUACUUCAGAUACGGAGCGGAAAUAAACUCUGGGCGGCCAGUCCUGAUGGUUCUUGC
rnacentral:lncRNA from 1 species